ACGGCAGCCCGGUGAGGCCAAGGUCGAUCCGGAAGAGAAGGUUCGUCCUCCCGACCCGGGCACCCAGCACGGUUCCCGGCACCCACGCGGAGUCAUAGCCGCGAUAAUGGCAAAAGUGUUGCGGGCCUGCGUAGUUGCGGAAUACCGAAUGCGUCGACGGCCCUUUGGGUGGGGUUGCAGCAGGAAGUGCCGCAAACGCGCCGAGGCCAACCCACGCAGCCCACACAUGCACGCUUGGUAACCGGACGACCGUGCUGGCGGGCGGCGAUCGAAAUCCUUUCGGUCGUCGCCCGCUUCGCAUU
rnacentral:ncRNA from 1 species